CUUCCCACCCUUUGUGUACCUACCUCUGUUGCUUUGGCGGGCCGCGGUCCCCCGCGGCCGCCCCCCCUCCCCGGGGGGUGGCUAGUGCCCGCCAGAGGACCAUCAAACUCCAGUCAGUGAACGUCGCAGUCUGAAAAAACAUUCAAUAAACUAAAACUUUCAACAACGGAUCUCUUGGUUCUGGCAUCGAUGAAGAACGCAGCGAAAUGCGAUAAGUAAUGUGAAUUGCAGAAUUCAGUGAAUCAUCGAAUCUUUGAACGCACAUUGCGCCCCUUGGUAUUCCGAGGGGCAUGCCUGUUCGAGCGUCAUUACAACCCUCAAGCUCUGCUUGGUAUUGGGCACCGCCCUUCUUCGGGCGCGCCUCAAAGACCUCGGCGGUGGCUGUCUUGCCUCAAGCGUAGUAGAAUACACCUCGCUUCGGAGCGCAGGGCGUCGCCCGCCGGACGAACCUUCUGAACUUUUCUCAAGGUUGACCUCGGAUCAGGUAGGGAUACCCGCUGAACUUAAGCAUAUCAAUAAGGCGGAGGAAGGA
rnacentral:rRNA from 1 species